ACGGGAGGCAGCAGUGGGGAAUUUUGGACAAUGGGCGCAAGCCUGAUCCAGCAAUGCCGCGUGCAGGAAGAAGGCCUUCGGGUUGUAAACUGCUUUUGUACGGAACGAAACGGUCCUGGUUAAUACCUGGGGCUAAUGACGGUACCGUAAGAAUAAGCACCGGCUAACUACGUGCCAGCAGCCGCGGUAAUACGUAGGGUGCGAGCGUUAAUCGGAAUUACUGGGCGUAAAGCGUGCGCAGGCGGUGCUGUAAGACAGGCGUGAAAUCCCCGGGCUCAACCUGGGAAUUGCGCUUGUGACUGCAGUGCUGGAGUACGGCAGAGGGGGAUGGAAUUCCGCGUGUAGCAGUGAAAUGCGUAGAUAUGCGGAGGAACACCGAUGGCGAAGGCAGUCCCCUGGGCCUGUACUGACGCUCAUGCACGAAAGCGUGGGGAGCAAACAGGAUUAGAUACCCUGGUAGUCCACGCCCUAAACGAUGUCAACUGGUUGUUGGGAAUUUACUUCUCAGUAACGAAAGCUAACGCGUGAAGUUGAC
rnacentral:rRNA from 1 species